CCUACGGGGGGCAGCAGUGGGGAAUAUUGGGCAAUGGGCGAAAGCCUGACCCAGCAACGCCGCGUGAAGGAAGAAGGCUUUCGGGUUGUAAACUUCUUUUGACAGGGAAGAGCAGAAGACGGUACCUGUCGAAUAAGCCACGGCUAACUACGUGCCAGCAGCCGCGGUAAUACGUAGGUGGCAAGCGUUGUCCGGAUUUACUGGGUGUAAAGGGCGUGUAGCCGGGCUGACAAGUCAGAUGUGAAAUCCCGCGGCUCAACCGCGGAACUGCAUUUGAAACUGUUUUUCUUGAGUACCGGAGAGGUCAGCGGAAUUCCUUGUGUAGCGGUGAAAUGCGUAGAUAUUAGGAGGAACACCAGUGGCGAAGGCGGCUUACUGGACUGUAACUGACGUUGAGGCUCGAAAGCGUGGGGAGCAAACAGGAUUAGAUACCCGAGUAGUC
rnacentral:rRNA from 1 species